GAUGAACGCUAGCGGCAGGCUUAAUACAUGCAAGUCGUGGGGCAGCAGGUCCGUAGCAAUACAGAUGCUGGCGACCGGCAAACGGGUGCGGAACACGUACACAACCUUCCUUUUAGUGGAGAAUAGCCCAGGGAAACUUGGAUUAAUACUCCGUAACAUAUAGAAGUGGCAUCACUUUUAUAUUAUAGCAGCAAUGCGCUAGAAGAUGGGUGUGCGGCUGAUUAGAUAGUUGGCGGGGUAACGGCCCACCAAGUCGACGAUCAGUAACUGGUGUGAGAGCACGACCAGUCACACGGGCACUGAGACACGGGCCCGACUCCUACGGGAGGCAGCAGUAAGGAAUAUUGGUCAAUGGACGCAAGUCUGAACCAGCCAUGCCGCGUGGAGGAUGAAGGUCCUCUGGAUUGUAAACUUCUUUUAUCUGGGAAGAAACCCAUCUUUUCUAAGGUGGUUGACGGUACCAGGUGAAUAAGCACCGGCUAACUCCGUGCCAGCAGCCGCGGUAAUACGGAGGGUGCAAGCGUUAUCCGGAUUCACUGGGUUUAAAGGGUGCGUAGUGGCAAGUAAGUCAGUGGUGAAAUCUCCGGGCUUAACCCGGAAACUGCCAUUGAUACUAUUUGUCUUGAAUACUGU
rnacentral:rRNA from 1 species